rnacentral:rRNA from 1 species
GUUCCUGGCUCAGGACGAACGCUGGCGGCGCGCCUAACACAUGCAAGUCGAACGAGCGAGAGAGAGCUUGCUUUCUCGAGCGAGUGGCGAACGGGUGAGUAAUGCGUGAGGAACCUGCCUCAAAGAGGGGGACAACAGUUGGAAACGACUGCUAAUACCGCAUAAGCCCACGGUGCCGCAUGGCACAGAGGGAAAAGGAGCAAUCCGCUUUGAGAUGGCCUCGCGUCCGAUUAG